rnacentral:rRNA from 1 species
AACUUUCAACAACGGAUCUCUUGGUUCUGGCAUCGAUGAAGAACGCAGCGAAAUGCGAUAAGUAAUGUGAAUUGCAGAAUUCAGUGAAUCAUCGAAUCUUUGAACGCACAUUGCGCCCCCUGGCAUUCCGGGGGGCAUGCCUGUUCGAGCGU